AUGAGGGUGCCUCUUUUCACAAUAUGCGAACAUAUGGGCUACUCGAGGCUUUAUGUUGUUUAUCAAUCUAAGGCACGUGAAACUUCACUGUCGUUAUUUUACAUACCAAUAUCAUUGCUUCCUCCAAUUUCAAUUGAUUUUCAUUUCUUGAUUCGUGUGUGUAUAGGACAAAGAGGAGAUAAAUUAAGUAUUGGAGAGCUUAAAACCAGCCACCCAGAACCACUCUGCCUGGAGAAAGAAGACAAUAUUUGGCAUGAUUUGCUUCAUCUACUACAGGUGACUCCGUCAGGACACCAGGAACAUGAUUGCAGUCCAGGAUACCAUACUGCAACCUCAAUCCAUCGAAUCAUCAAUCAUAGGGUAGGAAAGGCGCGCCAAGGCAUCGCCAAAGCCCAAGCCCGAGACUCCGGCCAAUCGAACUCGGCAGCCCCCGUCUUGGCGAUCUCGCGACUCUGGCCAUGUAGGUGA
rnacentral:rRNA from 1 species